rnacentral:lncRNA from 1 species
AUUUUCAAGGUUAAAUGGCCUUAUUUGAACUACAACCAUUUGAUAAAUUCACUUAAAAUUCCAACCAAAAUUUGGAGAUGUCAUGUGAUGUUUUUAAAUCACUUUUGUACAAAAACAUCUUUAUUUUAUGUAAUAUUUUGAGUUCUACACCAAGUUUUCAAAUCUGGUCCAGUGGGCAAUUUUUCACUACAACCUAUUUAAAUAUUUAUUUAAAACUUCUACCAAAAUUAGGGGAGGUCAGUAGGAGCAUAUUAUUCCACUUUGUGCAAAAACCUCGUGCUGUUCUUUGAAAAAUUUGAGUGAAUCAACCUCAUUUUCAUUCUGGACCAACUUGAUGGUUUGUACAGCAAUCAUAUUUUUGCUUGCUCUUUAACCCUUGAUUAUUUCUCCUACUUGUAGUCCUCCAUGUUAAACCCUUAAGUCCAGGAGCAUGCACCUUUUGGAUCAUUUUUGGUUCAUGAAAUAAUGCUAUUUAUUUCCUGUCCAGAAUUGAAGUUUUGUAAAACUUGCACUAACAAGUUUCUUCUUUUGACCAACUAACCCCACCACCCUCUUGUACAUCUAAAGAGACCACCAUCUGGAGUUUUUGGCCACUCCAAGACCUGCCUAAGUGCCCUUAGCAUUUUGUCAAACACCUUACGGGCAUGAUAUGUUUUGACAUGAGUUUUGGCAUUGCACUGUGAGCUUGCACCUCUGAUCAAACUAGCAUGUCCACUAGACUCCCAGUUGCUCCUAACCUCGAUCUGGUAAACCCCAACCUCACCUGCGACCGGUAGCACGCCGCGGCAUUGUGUCGAGCAUCUCCCGUGCGUGCACUGGACGCGCCCAGAGCGCGCGUAUUGCACGAUGCCGCGCCCGAGCCGACACGCUGGCCCCCCUAGCUUUGGCCCACACGGCAGCACCUCGCCACGCACUCCCCGCCUCGCAGCAUCACGCCAAACCACCCUGGCACGCUACAGCGCCGCCGCUAGGGCAUUCUUGGUGGCACUCCGGCGUCCGCAGUGGCUCCAGCCACGGGCAGCGCCGCCCAAACCCCUCCCGCUCGCCACCUGGCCCCUGGAGCAGUGCGAGCUCAUCCACAGCCAUGUCCUCUAGCGCUCGUCGCCGCCACGAUGCCCUGCUGCUACAGAACGUCGGUUCGCCGGAAGCUUAUCCACGGCCGCCGCGGAACUGCCUUGCCUCGCUUAUAAAUGGACGCCCCUGGCCGUUCCCGCACACUGGCAACCUCAGGCCAUCCCAAUGACGCUUCCCCAGCUCGCCAAUCGACCCAGGAGAGCUUUCUUCCCCAUCUCCGGUAACUCCUGCCGCCGCCACUGCCCCGGCCAUUCCGGCACCACCAGGGCCUCCCCCUCUCCAUUCUCUUCGCCAGAAACUUCCUCAUCCUCCCGUGAACCCAUCCCCCUACUCAAUUUUGAUCGAGAACCACCGUAGCCCCAAAUCCAUCUUGCUCCCGAAGCUUCCCUCCGCCUUGGAGCUCGCCGCCGGCGAUAUCCUCCGCCUCCGACGACCCUACGACUACCGGAGUAACCACCUCGGCCCCCUNNNNNNNNNNNNNNNNNNNNNNNNNNNNNNNNNNNNNNNNNNNNNNNNNNNNNNNNNNNNNNNNNNNNNNNNNNNNNNNNNNNNNNNNNNNNNNNNNNNNUGUGUGGAACUCCAUAUUUGUAUAUUAACUCUCUGAUGAAACUGAUGGCUGUGCUUGAGUCGAGGUUCCUGAUGGGUUUGGCUUCAAUCCACUUAGUGAACUUGUCAACUGCUACGAGCAGAUGGGUGAAGCCGCUUCUGCUAAUACUCAGGGGCCCAACCAUGUUGAGUCCCCAAACAACAAAUGGACAGACGAGGGGAAUGGUCUUCAACGCCGAUGCAGGCUUGUGGGACAUGUUCGAGUAAAACUGGCAACCUUCGCACUUUUCAACUAUCUCCUUAGCCAUUUUGUUUGCCCGCGGCCAGUAGAAUCCUGCUCGGUAUGCUUUGGCCACGAUGGUCCGAGAGGACGCAUGGUGACCAUAGGUCCCCGAGUGGAUCUCAUUUAAGAUCAGUCGACCUUCUUCUGGAGAGAUACACCACUGAUCUACGCCAGUUACACUUUCUCUAAAAAGAUGUCCACCUAUAACUAUAAAGGCUUUGGAUCUGCGAACAAUCUAACGAGCCUCACCCUCAUCUUCUGGAAGCUCCUGUCUGAGCAGGUAUGCAAUGUACGGCACUGUCCAGUCGGGGAUGAUUACCAAAACUUCCAUAACUAGGUCGACAACCGCUAGGAAUUCAACUUCAGUCGGAUUGGUUGGACUUAUCGGCUGGGGGGCUCCUCUGUAAAGGGAUCCUCUUGUACCGACGGGGUGUGGAGAUGAUCCAAGAACACAUUACUGGGAAUAGGCUUCUGAGUGGAACCUAUUUUUGCCAGAUCAUCAGCCGCUUGAUUCUUGAGUCGGGGUAUGUGGUGGAGCUCCAACCCUUCAAACUUCUUUUCUAAUUCUCUCACUGUGUUGCAGUAUCCAGUCAUGGCAGGGCUCCUGAUAUCCCACUCCAUCACCUGAUUGACCAGGAAAUCUGAGUCGCCGUAAACCACUAGACGACGGACGCCGAGUGAGAUGGCCAUACGCAACCCAUAAAAAAGUGCUUCGUACUCAGCUUCAUUGUUGGAGGAAUCAAAGUGAAUCUGGAGUAUGUAACUGAGUUUGUCACCCCUUGGGUAUACUAGGACCACUCCAGCACCAGAACCAUUCAACAUCUUAGAUCCGUCGAAAAACAUGGUCCAGUGUUUCGAGUGAACUUCAGUCGGUUGUUGUUGCUCAAUCCACUCUGUUGAACGUGACAUAUUUGUAUUGCCAUUCCUAUCUUCUCUAGCCUUGUAUAGUUGACUCCUAGAGAUAUGGUAGGAUUAGUUUCCUUGUCACGCAAGAUAUCCUGUGUAUAUAUUGUGACUGACUCCUUGUAAUACAAUUCAAUUGCAUCAAAUAUUCUCUCUACAUGGUAUCAGUUUUACCGCGAUCUUCUCACACUUCCGCAACUCGUAGCCGCCGCUGCCGCCAACUCCAAACCCUACCGCCGCCGCCGCCGCUACCACCCGUAGCCGCGGCCGCUACCUCUCCCGUAGCCGCCGCCGCCUCCCUCCUCCCCAAAACCCUACGUCACCACUUCUUCUCUACUUCCCAUAUCCGCCACCAUCUUCUCCCCAAAACCCUAAAGCCGCCGCCGCUACCCUCCUUCUCCUGUAGCCGCUGCUGCCUCCGUCCCAACACCCCCUAAACCCUAACCACCCGACGCCACCAUGGCCAAGGCUGACCCAUCCGACGCUGGUUCUUUCGCCGGUGCCAUGUUCACCUCCGACCGCCUCAACGAGCUUCACAUAAAAGACCACGUACCCGUCAUCCUCGACCUUGACUCGCCAUCCUACAACGCAUGGCGCACCUACUUCGCACUGCUGUUCCGCUCUUACCAUCUCAUCGAGCAUGUUGACAGGAGCAUCGACUUCCACGACAUGAAGGACGACGACGAGUGGCUUGUAGUGGAUGCCUGCAUCGUCAAGUGGCUCUUCCUCACCAUCUCCGGUGGCCUCUUCAACAUGGUGAAUGCCCGCGACCCGUCGGCGUAUGCUAUGUGGAAGUGACUAUGUGACCUCUUCCUCGACAAUCAAUUUCAACGCCGCAUCUUUCUUCAAGGGGAUUUCUCAACUACGCAGCAAAACGAUCUUUCGAUCAAUGAGUAUUGCACGCGGCUGAAGGUUCUCGCCAAUGAGCUGCGCGAUGUCGGCAUGACCAUUGACGACUCCGUCCUCCUCCCCAACCUCCUCCACGGCCUCCACCCCGUCCUUGGCCAGUCCGCCGCCAACCUCUCCCUCGUCACGCCGACGUACGUGAAGGCGGUCACGUACCUUCACAUGGAGGAAAAGCACCUCCGUCACUCUGCCCAGCAGGCGACCCACGCCACCCUCCACGUCGUACUCGCCACUGGCCAUGGCGCUCUGAUGUCUACUACACAACCUUCUUCUUGUAAACAUUGUUGGGCCUCCAAGUGCAGAGGUUUGUAGGACAGUAGCAAAUUUCCCUCAAGUGGAUGACCUAAGGUUUAUCAAUCCGUGGGAGGCGUAGGAUGAAGAUGGUCUCUCUCAAGCAACCCUGCAACCAAAUAACAAAGAGUCUCUUGUGUCCCCAACACACCCAAUACAAUGGUAAAUUGUAUAGGUGCACUAGUUCGGCGAAGAAAUGGUGAUACAAGUGCAAUAUGGAUGGUAGAUAUAGGUUUUUGUAAUAUGAAAAUAUAAAAACAGCAAGGUAACUAAUGAUAAAAGUGAGCACAAACGGUAUUGCAAUGGUAGGAAACAAGACAUAGGGUUCAUAAUUUCACUAGUGCAAGUUCUCUCAACAAUAAUAACAUAAUUGGAUCGUAUAACUAUCCCUCAACAUGUAACAAAGAGUCACUCCAAAGCCACUAUAGCGGAGAACAAACGAAGAGAUUAUGGUAGGGUACGAAACCACCUCAAAGUUAUCCUUUCUGCUCGAUCUAUUAAAGAGUCCGUAGUAAAAUAACAAGAAGCUAUACUUUCCGUUCAAUCUAUCAUAGAGUUCAUACUAGAAUAACACCUUAAGACACAAAUCAACCAAAAUCCUAAUGUCACCUAGAUACUCCAUUGUCACCUCAAGUAUCCGUGGGUAUGAUUAUACGAUAUGCAUCACACAAUCUCAGAUUCAUCUAUUCAACCAACACAAAGUACUUCAAAGAGUGCCCCAAAGUUUCUACCAGAGAGUCAAGACAAAAACGUGUGCCAACCCCUAUGCAUAGGUUCAUGGGCGGAACCCGCAAGUUGAUCACCAAAACAUACAUCAAGUGGAUCACGUGAAUAUCCCAUUGUCACCACAGAUAAACACGGCAAGACAUACAUCAAGUGUUCUCAAAUCCUUAAAGACUCAAUCCGACAAGAUAACUUCAAAGGGAAAACUCAAUCCAUUUUAAGAGAGUAGAGGGGGAGAAACAUCAUAAGAUCCAACUAUAAUAGCAAAGCUCGCGAUAGAUCAAGAUCGUGCCAUAAAGAGAACACGAGAGAGAGAGAGAGAGAGAGAGAGAGAGAGANNNNNNNNNNNNNNNNNNNNNNNNNNNNNNNNNNNNNNNNNNNNNNNNNNNNNNNNNNNNNNNNNNNNNNNNNNNNNNNNNNNNNNNNNNNNNNNNNNNNUUUCUGGAAUUUCUUCAUCUGGUGUUGGCGUCCACUCUGCUACGAAUUCUGCCAAUGCUCUGCUUUGGAUAGUUGAAGUGCUCUCAAACUUGAGGCCAAAGCUUGAUAGUUCCAAUGCCCACUCGACAAUCCUACCCGUCGCUUAUGGAUUUUGCAGUAUCCUCUUCAGUGGAAAAUGAGUGACGACUGUGAUCUCAUGUGCUUGGAAGUAAUGGCGCAGCUUUCUCGAGACCAUGAGAAGGCCGAAAAGCAAUUUCUGCACACCAGAGUAUCUUGAUCUAGCUCCCUGCAGAAGGGAACUGACAAAGUAAACUGGGCGCUGCACCAUUCUCUUCUGCAUCUUCUCACACGCCUGCGCAGAUCCAUCUUUGUCGGGACGAGAGCUUGUCGGCGAAGCCCCCCGCUUGUCGCUGGAUGCAUCUGCCGUGGUUGGUGGCUCAUCAUCCGCCUCCCUCUCCGCUACUAACGUAGCACUAACCACUUGAUUGGUUGCCGCUAUAUAUAACAACAACUUCUCAUGUGGCUUAGGUGCGACAAGUGUUGGAGUGGAGGACAUGUAUCUCUUUAAGUCACGCAGCGCAGCCUUCGCUUCCGGAGUCCAUUUCAUUGGACCUGCCUUUUUCAAUAUUUUGAAAAAUGGCAGGGCGCGCUCAGCAGAUCUAGAGAUAAACCUGCUGAGAGUAGCCACGCAACCGGCAAGUCUUCGUACAUCCUUGACGCGCUUUGGUGCUUCAAUCUGCUCAAUGGCCUUGAUCUUGUCGGGAUUGGCUUCAAUUCCAUGUUGAGACACAUAGAACCCGAGAAGCUUGCCGGAGGGGACUCCAAACACACACUUCUCGGGGUCAAGCUUGAGGUUGAUCUUGCGCAGAUUUGCAAAUGUUUCGUCUAAAUCUUGAAUCAGGGUCGCCCUGUCCUUGCUCUUGACCACUAUGUCAUCCAUGUAGGCUUCCACAUUUCUGUGCAUUUGCGGCUCAAAAGCGUGGUGGACUACCCUUGCAAACGUUGAACCAACAUUCUUUAAACCGAAAGGCAUCCGUACAAAAUAGUACGUGCCACACGGGGUGAUGAAUGCGGUCUUCUCCUCAUCCUCUUCUGCCAUGAAGAUCUGAUGGUAUCCUGAGUAUGCAUCAAGAAACGAAAGCAAGUCACAUCCGGCCGUGGAGUCAACAAUCUGGUCAAUGCGCGGCAAGGGAAAUGGGUCUUUGGGACAAGCUUUAUUGACAUCGGUAAAGUCGAUACAAAGCCUCCACUUCCCGUUAGCCUUGCGCACGACAACAGGAUUGGCCAACCACGUAGGAUGGAGCACUCCUCUGACAAGGCCUGCUGCUUCCAAUUUCUUGAUUUCUUCUGCGAUGAAUUCUUGGCGCUCCACUGCCUGUUUCCUGACUUUUUGCUUGACGGGCCGCGCAUGAGGACAGACGGCAAGAUGGUGCUCGAUUACUUUCCUGGGAACACCAGGGAUGUCAGACGGUUGCCAUGCAAAUACGUCGACAUUCGCCCGCAGGAAAGCAAUGAGCGCACUUUCCUAUUUAGGGUCGAGAGUGGCACUGAUGGUGAAGGUACCACCAGUGCCGUCCUCCUUGGCGGGCACCUUCUUGGUUUCUGGUGGAGCUGCCAUCACCUUCUUACACUUGCCGGUGGAGCUCGAUGGUGCGUCCUCGAAGGUAGCGCAGCACUCCGAAGAGGUGCGCUUGCCGGAGUGGGCAUCAGAGCUCGUGCUGGACUUGGUCUUCUUCUUCGCCCCAGGAGCUUCAGCGGCAAGUGACUUGGGAUCUGUUGCGGCUGCUGCUUCCCGGUAGAUCUUGUCGGCGCAGAUAAGAGCAUCCUUCUUGUCGCCAGGGACAGAGAUGACACUUAUCGGGCCUGGCAUCUUGAGCAUGUUGUAGGCAUAGUGAGAGGCUGCCAUGAAUUUGGCGAGUGCUGGACGGCCGAGUAUCCCAUUGUAAGGCAAUGGAAAGUCAGCAACGUCAAAAGUGACCCUCUCAGUUGUGAAGUUCAACUCUCUGCCAAAUGUUACCGGCAACGUGAUCUUUCCCUUCGGCUUGCUCCUUCCCGGGUUGAUUCCUUGAAAUGUGCCGGUUUCUUCGAGCUCGCUGUCAGGGAUCUGGAGUUUCUGGAGUACCGCGGAGGAGAUCAGGUUCAAGCCGGCCCUGCCGUCAACUAGCAUCUUAGUGACUUUGAGGUUGCGGAUAGUUGGUGAAACCAACAUCGGCAAGCACCCGACCGCAGUUAUGCAAUCAGGGUGGUCCUCAAUAUCAAAGAUGAUAGGCGUGCUGGACCAUUUCAGAGGCUUGCGUGACUCGACGGGUGGUUCUGCUGCAUUGACUUCCCACACCCAUUGCUUGAGCUGGCGGUGUGAAGUAUGCAGAGAAGCACCGCCGUCAACGCACAGGACCUCUGUGGCUUUCUGGAACUCCUGCUCAUCGGUCUCCUCAUCAUCCAUGUCUUCAUCGUCGUCGUCAUCUUCAUCCUUGUCGUGGCCACGGGGAGGUCUGUCUCCUUGCCGCUGCUUGGCCUUGCCGCGGCGUCCUCCUCGGCUGGGACGUUUCUUGCCGGAUCCUCCAGCACCUUCCUGGGCUUUCUCCUUGUCGCACCGCUCGUAUUCAGCUUUCUGUUGCUCGACAAGCUGCUCGACCUUCUUGCAGCUCUGGAGGUCAUGGCCCUUGGUGCGGUGGAUCUUCAAGUACUGCUUGUUGGUGCCGUCCUGCUUGUCGGUGACCGCCACAGCCUCUGCGGCAAUCUCCUUGCCGGAGCCACCAGCUUUGGCUUUCUUGGCGCCACCUCUGUUGCCGGACUGCUCGACGACUAGCACCUCUUUGCCUUUCUUCUUCCUGUUGUUCCGCCGCCGGUUUUUCUUUGCCGGGGCAGCAUCCUCACUAUCAGAUCCUCCUGCUCCUAUAUUCUCUCUGGGGAGUCUCCUCCCUUUGUCAGCACGUGCACACUUGUCGGCCAGGGCAUAUAGCUCACUGACGUCUCUGAUCUUGCACAUCGCCAUCUCCUCCUGCAUCCUGCGAUUCUGCACGUUCUGAUGGAACGCGCUGAUUACCGCGGCAGGGUGGACAUCUGGGAUGUUGUGCUGCAUGCUGCUGAAUCUCUGAAUGUACUUGUGCAGGGGCUCUCCUUCCUUCUGGGCGAGCAGAUGAAGGUCGCUCUCUUGGCCAUGAGUCUUGUGGCCGCCUGUAAAGGCGCUGACGAACUGAUGGCACAGGUCGGCCCAGGAGGAUAUGGAGUUGUCCGGCAAGUGCAUGAGCCAGGAUCUGACAUUGGGCUUGAGCACCAGCGGGAAGUAGUUGGCAAGGAUCUUGUCGUCUCGUCCCCCGGCAGCCUGUACUGCAAUGGUGUAGAUGUUGAGGAACUCCGACGGAUGCGACUUGCCGUCGUACUUCUCUGGUACAUCUGGCUUGAAAUUCUUCGUGCUGGGCNNNNNNNNNNNNNNNNNNNNNNNNNNNNNNNNNNNNNNNNNNNNNNNNNNNNNNNNNNNNNNNNNNNNNNNNNNNNNNNNNNNNNNNNNNNNNNNNNNNNUGUUUUGGUAUGUACACAUAUUAAUUAAGUCUUUGUUCUUUUUUCUAGCCCUCCGGAUCGAGCACAACUUCGGUAAAGAGACGAGGCCCGAAGAAAAAGUUGAGCUCGGAUGAAAAGUUUGAGAUCAUAGCAAUCGCGCCCGACGGCCAACCUAUUGAACCCCUCCGGACAAAGAGCGCAUUUGUUGCUCAGUGCGGGGUUCUGGUUAGGGACAAGAUCCCGAUAAGCAUCCAACAAUGGUUUAAGCCGGCUACAGAAGACCCUGAGGUGUCUUAUGUCAAUGAUAUGCAGAAAAAUGAUCUUUGGACUGAGCUGAAGUCAAAUUUCACCCAACCGCCUGAGGAUAAUCCAUAGAACCCAGUUAAAGAGAAAUUAAUCAAGUCUUUUGCUCUGAAGAGGAUGGCAGAACUAUUCAGGAGGUGGAAGAAAGAGCUGAAUAAGUUUGUCGAAAAUAACGAGAAACCAGAAUUCAAGGGCAGAUAUGAGAAGAUCAGAGAUCACUGGCCCGCAUUUGUGUCCUACAAGACAUCGGAAAAGAGUCAGAAGAUGUCAGCGACAAAUAAGCAAAAUGCUGCAAAGAAGAAGCUUCACCAUCGCGCAAGGUCAGGUGGCUACCUCGUAGCCCGGCCUAAGUGGUCCAAGACUGAGAAUGAUCUGGUUCAUAAAGGGAUCGAACCAGAGACAAUUAACUGGCCAGACCGUUGCCGGACUUGGUUCUUCGGGGCUGGCGGAACACUGGACCCUGUAACAGGGAAGUGCAUUUGGACGAACGAUCAAAUGGACAUACCAGUAAGUAAGAUUAAGCAGUAUAUCGAAGCAGCGCAGGAAGGGACGUUCUUUCCAGACAGAGAGAACGACGAGCUCACAAUGGCCCUCGGGAAUCCUGAGCACCCUGGACAGACACGAGGCACGCCAGGCUCCAUUCCGUGGAAGGUUGGGUUUCGGGACGCAGGCGGUUACAAAUCCCAUGAGAGGAGGAAAAAAGUGCAGCAGACCCAAAUGCAGGCGCUGAAAGCAAGGGUAGACGCGAUAGAGGAACGAGAAGCAAAUUGCAGCAAACGUACUGCCGAAGCCUCCCCCGAAGCUACCCCGCCACCUCAGCGCAGAAGCAGCGUGGCUUCCACUGAGCUGCUUCAGCCGGAGCAUGCCUUGACGGCUCCUGCCAGCUAUCCCGUGGAUGCUAUAACGGAGUCUCAAAAUUGCCACCUUAUGACGCAAUGGAUGAAUUUGAAGGUCAAGGCGGCUAUUGGCUCUGUUUUUCCUACUGAACCCGGCGCAACUUUUCACUGCCGGCCGAUUCCAGAAGGAUAUGCUAGGGUGAUGGUGGAUGAGAUAACGGAGGGAUUUGAGGACCUCCAGCUUGACCACCCUACCGGUGAAGGGGAGACUCGGCUGGGGUCUGCUCUGAAGACUCCAUGCCUAUGGCGGAAGGAGCUCAUCAACCUUCCGAACUGGACGCCACCGCCUCCUCCUCCUCCUCCUCCGGCGAGUCAGGGCACUCCGCCUCCACCGCCUCCUCCUCCGGCGAGUGACGGUCAGGGCCCUUGGCCGGCUCCUUCUCCGAUGCGUGGCGGCACUCCGCCUCCUUCUCCGCCUGCGCCGACGCGCCCGAGCAGCCAGCCUCCUCCUUCUCCGCCUCGUCAGCAAGGGCGGAAGAGACCUGCCGCCGCUCCAGCUGCUCCAGCGCGUCGUAGUCCUUCUCCUCCGCCUCUUAAGCAAGUAAAGAAGACAACCGCUACGUCUGCUCGGUCGGCAUCUAGCAGUACAACCAGAGGCGGGAGGACAUACAGAUUCGGUCCUUCUCUGAAGACUCCAGAGAAGUUACCAUACGAGAGGACCCAGGAGGAGAACGCCGAGAUCGCGCGAUAAGAAGUGAAGAAAUUCUUUGAAGGGGUGAAAGCAAAGAAACAUCCACCUCCGGAGGAGAAGGUAGAUCGGGUGAAAGUGAAGCGCACUCUGGCUGCCCUGACAAAACCACCGAAGUCCGAUUCGCCGAAAGGAAACUAUGACCGCAUUAUUGGAAAGGAAUUUGCCGAAGCGGAGCGGUCGGGAAGUACUGUCAGUGAUCAAAGGCUGAAAGAACAACGAGCUGGGAAACAAAUUGCCCAGCUCGGCGAACAAGCGAAGCAAUCGUGCCCCCCGCUCAAGGUGCCUAGCCACAACGUCGAUAAUGAUCCGAGGAUGGUGCCAGGUUAUAGCAAUCUUGCAGAUUACCUGCCCGACGAAGUACAUUAUGAACCCAUGGAGGUGCAGAUACAAAGAUACGAGUACGGGAAGCCUCUCGUCAAAGAUGAAAGAUCUCUAUCAACGAUGAUGCGAAGAUUGCAUGAUUGGUACUUGAAAAUCUGCAGAGACUCUGGGGGGAGGAGUACUUUGUAUGUGAAAGUUAAAAAGGAGCAAGACCUCGUUGGAAUUGAUCUGUUGCCUGUUCCAUUUGAGGAGUUCUAUCAGUUUUUCAAUCAAUUGGCCCUCGAUAAAACAACGGUCGCCUGCUACUGUAUGUAAGUAGUACUACUUCUAUCAUUAAGUUUCUCUAUAUAGCUUAGCUCUUUCAUUGCAUGUAUUUAUAAUCAUCCUCACUAUAUUAUGCAGAUUGAAGAUCGCCGAAUUGAAGAAAAGACAAGUCGGUGAUAUUGGGUUCAUUAACACAUAUCCCAUAGAUGCAACUCAGGUUAAACUUCAUGCCGCAGCUACCGAGGCCAGCUUGCUACGAUCGUUCGUAAUAAAUCAAAACAAAGAUAUAAUACUCUUUCCUUACAACUUCAGGUGAGUGUUACUGUCUUGUGCGUAUUCGGUUUCCCUUUUAUAUUAGUCAAGGUUAUAGUAAUGUAAUUCAUGAGUUAUGCAUGUGUGUGCAGUUUCCACUUUAUUCUCCUAGAGAUUAAGCUUGAGCAGAGAGUAGUAACCGUCUUGGACUCUAAACAAAAAGAUCCCAAGGAGUAUGCGGACAUGACUGAAAUCCUCAAGAAGUAAGUUAAAUCGAUCAUUAUCCACCAUAUCAGCAACUUUGUUCAUUUCCUGAUAUCAAGUAAUUGUUUUCUUUGUCCGGCAGGGUUUGGAGAAAAUUCACCAAAACAGUUCCGGGACUGCCGAAGGAGCUAGAAUUUAGACACCCAAAAGUAAGUACUAUAGUAGCAUGUUCCGCGCAUCUCCUAGUGAUUCAAGCGCUAGUUUCAUCAAUACCAUUUAGCAUUCUUGCUUAUCAGUUUGAUUCACCUCUAUUUCUUGUAAAGUGGUUGUGGCAGGAACAAGGGAAUGAUUUCUGUGGAUACUACAUCUGCGAGUCCAUCCGCCACACAACCUGUGAGCGGGGCGGGUACUCUAACGAACAAUAUGAAGUACGUAAAUAACAACAUUCACAAUUUUAUUUUAUUACCAUCAUUUGUGUUGAGUUUCAUUCAUUUAUAUAUAUAUAUAUAUAUNNNNNNNNNNNNNNNNNNNNNNNNNNNNNNNNNNNNNNNNNNNNNNNNNNNNNNNNNNNNNNNNNNNNNNNNNNNNNNNNNNNNNNNNNNNNNNNNNNNNCAGUCCAGGGUGAGACUUUUCUCCCCGGACAGAUCUUUGUGUUCGGCGACUUUGCACUGCGGGCCAAUUCGCUUGGCCAUCUGGAGCAGAUCGAAAGUUACGCCCCUGGCCAGCAGGUCAGAUUUGGAAGCCUAAACUUCACGGCUGACAUCCGCGGAGACUUGAUCUUCGAUGGAUUCGAGCCACAGCCGAGCGCGCCACACUGUCACGAUGGGCACGAUUUAGCUCUGCCGUCGGACAGUGCCCUGGAAGCCGCACAUGAGUCCGCUCCGGCCCCUAGUUCGGAGCCGACCGCGCAGAUCGAGGACAGGUGGCUGGACACCGCCUCAGGAGCUGCAAUCUCUACGGCGAUGGAGCUGAAUACUGACCUUGUCCCUCGUAAAGCUCGUGACUCUUAGGUGCCGGACUCCUCGCCGGACUCCGAACCUCCUGCGCCCCUACCAAUCGAAUCCGAUUGGGCGCCGAUCAUGGAGUUCACCGCCGCGGACAUAUUUCAGCACUCACCCUUUGGCGACAUUCUGAAUUCGCUAAAACAUCUCUCGUUAAUCAGGAGAGCCCUGGCCGGACUGCGGCCAGGACGGUUGGGAUGCGGACGACGAAGAAAUUCAAAACCCACCCACCACCCACUUUGUAGCCACUGUCGACGAUCUAACCGACAUGCUAGACUACGACUCCGAAGACAUCGACGGUAUGGACGACGAUGCCGGAGACGACCAAGAACCAGCGCCUACGGGGCACUAGAAGACCACCUCAUCAUACGACAUAUACAUGGUGGACAUCCCAAAGGAUGGGAGCGGCGAAGAAGCAGCGGAGGCAGAUUCCCCUAAGAAAUAGCCCAAGCGCCGACGUCAGCGGCGCCGCUCUAAAUCCCGCCACAACAAGAAUGGAGAUUCCGGCACCAGAGAUAAUAACACCCCAGGGAGUGCUAAAGACAACCCCUUCCAGCAAGAUUCAGCACAGGAGGACGUAGAAGCCAACCCUCACGAGAGAGCGGCAGACGAAGAGGUCGAGGAUGACAAUUACAUGCCUCCCUCCGGAGACAAGGCAAGCCUAAACGAUGACGAAUUUGUCGUGCCCGAGGAUCCCGUCGAACAAGAGCGUUUUAAACGCAGGCUUAUGGCCACGGCAAACAGCCUAAAGAAAAAGCAGCAACAGCUCAGAGCUGAUCAAGACCUGCUGGCCGACAGAUGGACCGAAGUCCUCGCGGCCGAAGAGCAUGAACUCGAACGCCCCUCCAAAAGCUACCCAAAACGCAAGUUUCUCUCCCAAUUAGAGGAGGAGGAGUAUAAACCCUCAUCACCAGCGCACAAUACGGCAGACCGACCACCUCGUGGCCGCGACAGAGAGGCAUCUAGGCCCUCCACCAGAACCGUACCCCGGCACCGCUCAAAAAGUGUGAAGCCACGGGGGAAUGCGCCGGACUUGCGAGACAUAUUGGAGGACAAGGCAAGACAAUCAAGAUCGAUCUACGGAUCACGUGGGCGCCCCAUGAUGCGCGACAACUACCGUCGUACCGGAUACAGCAACUCCGGUCGGGCCGAACACAGUAGACAAAGCUCUCUUGAGCUACGUCGUGAUAUUGCUCAGUAUAGAGGCGCCGCACACCCACUAUGCUUCACAGAUGAAGUAAUGGAUCAUCAAAUCCCUGAAGGGUUUAAACCCAUGAACAUUGAAUCCUACGAUGGCACAACAGACCCCGCGGUUUGGAUCGAAGACUAUCUCCUUCAUAUCCAUAUGGCCCGCGGUGACGAUCUCCACGCCAUCAAAUAUCUCCCACUCAAGCUUAAAGGACCAGCUCGGCAUUGGCUUAACAGCUUGCCAGUAGAGUCAAUUGGGUGUUGGGAGGACCUGGAAGCUGCAUUCCUCGACAACUUCUAGGGCACAUAUGUGCGACCACCAGACGCCAAUGACCUAAGCCACAUAAUCCAGCAGCCAGACAAAUCGGCCAGACAAUUCUAGACACGGUUCCUAACAAAGAAAAAUCAAAUCGUCGACUGUCCAGAUGCAGUGGCCCUCGCAGCCUUCAAACACAACAUCCGCGACGAGUGGCUGGCCUGGCACCUAGGACAGGAAAAGCCGAAAUCCAUGGCAGCCCUCACAUCACUCAUGACCCGCCUCUGUGCGGGGAGGAUAGCUGGCUAGCCCGCAGUAACAACCUCAGCAAAAAUUCUGGCAGUCUGGAUACCAAGGACCGCAAUGGCAGGUCGCGUCGAAACAAAAACAAACGCCGCGUUAACAGUGAUAACACUAAGGAUACGGCAGUCAACGCCGGAUUCAGAGGCUCUAAACCCGGUCAGCGGAAAAAGCCAUUCAAAAGAACCACUCCGGGUCCGUCCAAUUUGGACCGAAUACUCGACCGCUCUUGCCAGAUACAUGGCACCCCUGAAAAGCCAGCUAAUCGCACUAACAGGGAUUGUUGGGUAUUCAAGCAGGCAGGCAAGUUAAUUGCCGAAAACAACGACAAGGGGCUGCAUAGCGAUGACGUGGAAGAGACCCGGCCGCCGAACAGUAGAGGACAGAAGGGUUUCCCCCCACAAGUGUGGACGGUAAACAUGAUAUACGCAACCCACAUACCCAAGAGGGAACGGAAGCGUGCACUUAGGGAUGUAUAUGCGAUGGAGCCAGUCACCCCGAAGUUCAAUCCAUGGUCCUCUUGCCCGAUCACUUUUGAUUGAAGGGAUCACCCCACCAGUAUCCGCCAUGGCGGAUUCGCCGCAUUGGUUUUAGACCCAAUCGUCGAUGGAUUUCACCUUACCAGAGUCCUGAUGGACGGCGGCAGCAGCCUGAACUUGCUUUAGCAGGAUACAGUGCGCAAGAUGGGCAUAGACCCCUCAAGGAUUAAACCUACAAAUAUGACCUUCAAAGGCGUCAUACCAAGUGUAGAGGCCAAUUGUACAGGCUCGGUUACACUGGAAGUGGUCUUCGGAUCCCUGGAUAACUUCCGAAGCGAGGAGUUAAUCUUCGAUAUAGUCCCGUUCCGCAGCGGCUAUCAUGCUCUGCUCGGACGGACCGCGUUUGCAAAGUUCAACGCGGUGCCACAUUAUGCAGACCUCAAGCUCAAGAUGCCAGGCCCUCGAGGAGUCAUCACGGUCAACGGAAACACAGAACGCUCCCUCCGAACGGAGGAACAUACAUCGGCUCUCGCAGCAGAAGUACAGAGCAGCCUCUUAAGGCAAUUCUCAAGUCCGGCCGUUAAGCGACCGGACAUAUCCAAGCGCGCCCGGAGUAACAUACAUCAAGACCACCUGGCACGUUCCGAGCACGCGUAGCAAUGCGGCCCCAACCCCAGCCCUUGCAUGAUUGCAAGACUAGUACUUCGCGUACAUCGUUACGCUCUGGAGAUACCAUGGGCAUAGGGGGAGGGGCACGACCACGACAGGCCCAGAGUGCGGCUCAACCACACCAGGGGCUCCCAAGUGUGUNNNNNNNNNNNNNNNNNNNNNNNNNNNNNNNNNNNNNNNNNNNNNNNNNNNNNNNNNNNNNNNNNNNNNNNNNNNNNNNNNNNNNNNNNNNNNNNNNNNNCUGACACUGAUGGUAAUGUUAAUGUCUACAAAGCUCAACUUGUCACAAAAGGUUUUCGACAAGUUCAAUGGGUUGACUAUGAUGAGACUUUCUCAACCGUAGCUAUGCUUAAGUCCGUCCGAAUCAUGUUAGCAAUUGCCACAUUUUAUGAAAUCUGGCAAAUGGAUGUCAAAAUUGCAUUCCUUAAAUUGAUAUCUCCAAGAAGAGUUGUAUAUGAUGCAACCAAAAGGUUUUGUCGAUCCUAAAGUUGCUAACAAUGUGAGCAAGCUCCAGCGAUCCAUCUAUGGACUGGUGCAAGCAUCUCGGAGUUGGAAUAUAUGCUUUGAUGAGGUGUUCAAAACAUAUGGUUUUAUACAGACUUACGGUGAAGCCUGUAUUUACAAGAAAGUGAGUGGGAGCUAUGUAGCAUUUCUGAUAUUAUAUGUGGAUGACAUAUUGUUGAUUGUAAAUGAUAUACAAUUUCUAUAUAGCAUAAAAGGAUAUUUAAAUAAGAAUUUUUCACUGAAAGACCUCGGUGAAGCUGCUUACAUAUUGGGCAUCAAGAUCUAUAGAGAUAGAUCAAGAUGCUUGAUAAGACUUCCAAUGAGUACAUACCUUGACAAGAUGUUGAAGGAGUUCAAAAUGGAUCAGUCAAAGAAGGAGUUCUUGCAUGUAUUGUAAGGUGUGAAGUUGAGUAAAGACUCAAAACCCGACCACGACAGAAGAUAAAGGGAUAAUGAAAGGCAGUCCCUAUUCCUCAGCCAUAGGUCCUAUAAAGUAUGCUAUGCUGUGUACCAAAUAUGUUGUGUACCUUGCCAUGAGUUAGGCAAGGGGGUAUAAUAGUGAUCCAGGAAUAGAUCACUGGUCAGCAGUCAAAAUUAUCCUUAGUUACCUUAAAUAGGACUAAGGAAAUGUUUAUCGGUUAUGGAGGUGAUAAAGAGUUUGUCGUAAAGGGUUACGUCGAUGCAAGCUUUGACACCGAUCUAGAUGACUCUAAGUCUCAAUCCAGAUACUUAUUGAACGUGGGAGAAAUUAGCUAGAGUAGCUCCAUGCAGAGCAUUGUAGACAUAGAAAUUUGCAAAAUACAUACGGAUCCGAAUGUGGUAGACUCGCUGAACUUUUCUCACAAGCAAAACAUGAUCACACCUUAGUAUUCUUUGGGUGUUAAUCACAUAGCGAUGUGAACUAGAUUAUUGAAUCUAGUAAACCCUUUGGGUGUUGGUCACAUGGCGAUGUUAACUAUGGGUGUUAAUCACAUAAAGAUGUGAAAUAUUGGUGUUAAAUCACAUGGCGAUGUGAACUAGAUUACUGACUCUAGUGCAAGUGGGAGACUGAAGGAAAUAUGCCCUAGAGGCAAUAAUAAAGUUCUUAUUUUAUAUUUCCUUAUAUUAUGAUAAAUGUUUAUUAUUCAUGCUAGCAUUGUAUUAACCAAAAACUUAAUACAUGUGUGGAUACAUAGACAAAACACCAUGUCCCUAGUAAGCCUCUAUUAGACUAGCUCAUUAAUCUAAGAUGGUUAAGUUUCCUGACCAUAGACAUGUGUUGUCAUUUGAUGAACGGGAUCAUAUCAACAGGAGAAUGAUGUGAUGGACAAGACCCAUCCGUUAGCAUAGCAUAUUGAUCAUUCAGUUUUAUUGCUAUUGCUUUCUUCAUGUCAAAUACAUAUUCCUUCGACUAUGAGAUUAUGCAACUCCCGGAUACCGGAGAAAUACCUUGUGUGCUAUCAAAUGUCACAAUGUAACUAGGUGAUUAUAAAGAUGCUCUACAGGUAUCUCUGAAGGUGUUUGUUGGGUUGGCAUAGAUCAAGAUAGGAUUUGUCACUCCGAGUUUCGGAGGGGUAUGUCUGGGCCCUCUCGAUAAUACACAUCAUAAGAAUCCUUGCAAGCAAAGUGACUAAUGAGUUAGUUGCAGGAUGAUGUAUUACAAAACAAGUAAAGAGACUUUUCGGUAACGAUAUUGAACUAGGUAUGAAGAUACCAAUGACUGGAUCUUGCCCAAGUAACAUACCGAUGAACAAAGGGAAUUACGUAUGUUGUCAUAACGGUUCCACCGACAAAGAUCUUCGUAGAAUAUGUAGGAGCCAAUAUGGGCAUCCAGGUUCCGCUAUUGGUUAUUGACCGGAGAGGUGUCUCGGUCAUGUCUACAUAGUGCUCGAACUCGUAGGGUCCGCACGCCUAAUAUUCAAUGACGAUAUAGGAUUAUAUGAGUUAUGUGAUUUGGGGACCAAAUGUUGUUCGGAGUCCCGGAUGAUAUCACAUACAUAACGAGGAGUCUUGAAAUGGUCGAAAGGUAAAGAUUGAUAUAUAGGACGAUGGUAUUCGGACACCGGAAGUGUUUCCUAGGGUACUGGGUACCUAUAGGGUCACUGGAAGGGGUUCCAGGCACCCCCGGCAAAGAUAUGGACUUAAUGGGCCAAGGGAGGGACAGACCAGCCAACAAGGGGCUGGUGCGCCCCUCCACCAGGCCGGCCAGCACUAGGGAAAGGAAAGGGGGGAGGGCAAGUCCUUCCUUCCUUUCCCUCCUCAAGGGAGAAAGGAAAGGGGGCGCCACCUCCCCCUUCCUUCCCCUGGCGCCUAUACAAGGAAGGGGGGGCAAACCUGGGCAGUAGCCCAAGUGGGAUUUGGCCCCACUUGGGGCGCCCCUUGGCCUCUCCCCUCUCCCUCCCACCUAUAUAUAUGAGGAAGGGGUGCCUAGCACACACGAGAUCAAUUGUUAGCCGUGUGCGGUACCCCCCUCCACCGUUUACACCCUCGGUCAUAUUUUCGUAGUGCUUAGGCGAAGCCCUGAGAGGAUCACUUCACCAUCAUUGUGACCACGCCGUCGUGCUGAUGGAACUCAUCUACUACCUCAAAGACUUGCUAGAUCAAGAAGGUGAGGGACGUCACCGAGAUGAACGUGUGGAAAACUCGGAGGUGUCGUACGUUUGGUACUCGAUCGGUGGAUCGAGAAGAAAGUUUGACUACUUCAACCACGUUGUGAAACGCUUCCGCCUAUGGUCUACGAGGGUACCACUAAUUGGUAAAACCUUAUACAUAGAACUUUAGAAGUAGCACUGGUUAAAAUGAGGCGCUAGUUCUACAUAGCAGUAGCGCGUGCGCGUGAACCGCGCUACAUAUACUGGUUUAGCAGUAGCGCUUCUGCUGCGAAAAGUGCUACUACUAAACUUCCCACUACGAAGCCGAUAGGCUACGAAUACUUGUAGCGACCUUAGGAAAACCGUGCUACCGCUAAGGCUAUUGUAGAAGCGCAUUUUCCGCGAGAGCGCUACUGCUAAUGGAAAGAAAAUAAAAUGAAAAACAAACAAAAAUGAAAAUGAAAAUGAAAAUGAAAGGAAUAGAAAAAGGAUAAAGGAAAAAUAAAAUGUAAAUAAAAGGAAAAAUAAAGGGGAAGGCAUAGCAGUAGCGUCUGCUCAUAACAGGUGCUAUAGAUAAUAUAGCAGCAGNNNNNNNNNNNNNNNNNNNNNNNNNNNNNNNNNNNNNNNNNNNNNNNNNNNNNNNNNNNNNNNNNNNNNNNNNNNNNNNNNNNNNNNNNNNNNNNNNNNNAAAGGUUGGGAUGUCGUUUAUGAAGUGCCGCCACGUGCUAGACUUUCUCCCCCAAAGGAAGAGGAUUAUGAACCUCACAUUAACCCAGACACAUAUGAAGGAGAAUUCUUCCAAGAGACACGUCUUUCCAAAAAGCGUUUCAAGAACCGCUAUACUUCACCCCAAAACAUUGAAGUAGACAGCGACAAUGAAUCUGACAUCACCCCAGAGGAGGAACAAGAAGAGACGGAACAAGAAGAGGUUACUGCUGCAGAUGACCUGUCAAUGCUUGACCGAUUACGUCAAGGUGGCCUUGCACAUGUUGAUGCCAAUGAACCCUAUGAGCCCAUCAUUGAUUAUAGUGAUGAUGAUGAUUAUGCAUUUAUUGAUGAUACUGAUCGAGAUUAUUAGUAGUGUCAGGUAUUCAAAUUUUUUAUGUUGUACUUGAUGAUGAUACACUUAAGUGAUAUACAUAUUAUUAUUCAUGUCAGUACUUUUUUUAUGUUGUACUAAUUUCGUUUAUUCUUUGUCAUGGCAGGUGUUGAAAGAUGGUGGGCGCUGGUCGGGAGCGCGCCGAGGCCCCUUCUUCGUCGGCGCGUGGUGCGAGGUCUUCCAUUCCACACGCACCUCUCCGCUGAGCAUUGCUGGACAGUAUGGCGACACCGUCGGGCCCUUCUUCGUCGACCGCGGUGCCCAGCAGGGGACGAGGUAAGAAGAAGAGAGGAGGUGGAGCACGUGGUCACGGGAGAGGAGGUAGGGUGACUCUUACGGCGCCUUCCUCGCCGCCGCCCCCAGCUAUUUCACCCGAGCACGUGACUGCUAGGGUGGACUCGUCUGAGGAGGAGGCUGCACGGACUCCGGUCCACAGGUCUUCGGCCCAUGAGCCUCGGGUCGACGGGCCUUCGGCCCACAAGACUUGGGCCCACGAGACCCCAGAGGAGCACACGUCUAGAUGGGGUACCUGGUCGGGUCAGCCUGAGGAGCCAAGUGGCCACGCUGAUGAUGGCGGGGAGCCGAGUGGCCAUGCUGAUGAUGGCGGGGAGCCGACUGAUGAGGAGGGGGAGGAGGGGGGCAAUGUCUACCAGCGUGGUGCUACACGGCUCCCGUCCGUGCCGGCGACCAUGAGCAGAGGUGGUUGAUUUUCCCUGAUGGGGAGAGGUAAGUGCAUUUAAUCUUUUUGUACCUUCUGCAUUCACGUUUCUUCAAAUAACUGAUGUGUUGGCCUUGUCAUGCUGUAGGGGUUGGGACCACCAUGAAAGUGACCGCCGACCCAACUCCAUCCUUGGAGUUCUGAUUCGGCAAAACUUCCCGGGGUUUGUCACGUUGCCUGGUGAGGGUCGGCUUCCAGAGGUUGGAUUGACUUGGGAGCACUACUUGGCUGCCCCGGCCCCGCCGGGUGAGAUUAUCGACGGUGUCUUGUGCAAGACAAGGGCAGACAUCGUGAUCAGAAAGUUCUGGGUAAUUACUCCUUUACACAAUUAAAAAUCUUCAACUAGCUAGUUAUUAAUUAUACUAAUCAAUAUUGUCUCAUUUGAUUGCGGACAUUCUACAGGUGUGAGGAGGGAUACGAGGAGGAGGCGGAUCAUGUUAUCCACAAGGAGUGCAAGCGCCUACUUCAGAACUUACGGCAUGAGUUUCGGGUGCAGGCUGUUCGAGACUACUACGCUGGGCGUGGUAUCAAGAAGCCCAAGCAGGAGUGCCGCGAUAAGUUCUUGAGUAAGGAGAAGUACAUGAAGGUAAUUCUUAAGGCCUUGUACUUACUUCCUUCAUUUAGUAAUUCAUAGCCGUAGCGCUCAAGUUUCUAUUUUCUAACUUAGGCCCCUCCGAGAUGGUGUGCGGAUCGGAUGGAUUGUUGGGAGGUGUUGGUCAAUGUGUGGUGCUCAAAAGAAUGGCUGGCCACCCACAAAGAGGCCAAGGACAAACGUGCCCAAAUGGAAGGUGUGCCACACCACCAAGGCAGCUCCAACUUAUUUCAGUACGGGCGGAACUGGGUAUGUGGUUUGCUUCAUGAUUCAUGAAAUUCAUUCAUCAUGCUAGCUUUAGCCCUGUAAUUACUAAUUUACUUUGUUUCUCUCUUUCAGACACGCUACAAUAAGGCGGAUAAGGUGCCAGAGGUGUACGACCUGUAUGCCAUGGCCCACACUGGCCCUUACAAGAAAGUCAAGGCAUUCUCUGCGUCUAACCUCGAUGAUCCAAAGAACUUCACCAACAUCUCCGCCCACGACAAGCUCAUGCAAUAUAGAGAUCAGGGGAAGGCGAGGAAAGGGGAGGACUUUAACCUGAGCCAGGGUCCCAUUGAUACAGAGCUGCUGAUGAUAUCUGGUGGCGGGAGGUCCCAUGGCUCCAUAGCCAUGGGAGAUGGACUUAUUCGUUUUCCUAGCACUCUCCCGCGGAUCAAGGCGUGCCAGUCGAGCUCCGCUCCUGAGAUAAGGCCUCGUGAACGGCCAGUCCAACUCGCCUUCAAGGUUAGUUAUACGUACUCAGCUAUCUUUCUCCAUUACAUUGUGUGCGCUUCCAUCAAUGAUUACAAAUGGUCAUGUGAGUGGUGUUGCAGGCUGCUAUACAGAGUGAGAGAGAUAGAACGGAGAAACUUCUGGCGGAGGCAGCGGAGAGGCAGCGGGAGUUGGAGGAGAAGACGACAAUGAUGUUGGAGCAGGAGAGGGCACGGAAUGACAUGCAGGCAAGGGCCAUGUACGAGCUCCUUGUGGUAAGUUUCUUCUACAGAUUACUUGCUAGUCUUAACAUUUGAGUCUCAUUACUAACUAGUAUGACUCUGUUGUGAAAACCAAAUGUGCAGUCUGUGUGCGAGAAGUCCGGUCAGACCGCUCCGCCGAUGCCAGUGAUUGCUCCUGGGAGCACGGUGAGUUUAAUUUGAAUGGACAUUACUUGCUAGUCUUAACAUUUGAGUGUCAUAAUGCUAACGAGACAUUGGAAAUGAUCUUUGGUGCAGCUUAACUCCAGAAACGAAUCGCACGAUCCUUCUCCAGCUACCGGCGCGAGCCAGCCCGCUCCUUCUCCAGCUACCAGCGCGAGCCAGCCCGCUCCUACACCUCCGUGAUCACGGUAAGUUUCUCUAGUGUUUUGCUUAACAAACGCAUAAAGAUCUAGACUUAGCUUUAUUUCCUCCAAUAUUCUUACCAUAAUGACCUAGAGUUAGCUUCUUUUCCUCCAAAAUGACUUAAUAAGCUUACUGACCUCAUAAACCAUCCAUUCUACCUAAGUUAGCUCUAAAAUGACUCAUUUUACCUUAGUUAGCUUACAAGUGAUCCAAUUUAUCCAAGUUAGCUCUAAAAUGACCCAUUUUACGUAGAUUAGCUCCUAAAUGAUCCAUUUUACCUACGUUAGCUUUAAAAUGACCCAUUUCACCUAGGUUAGCUCCAAAAUGACCCAUUUCACCUAGGUUAGCUCCAAAAUGACCCAUUUCACCUAAGUUAGCUAAAAANNNNNNNNNNNNNNNNNNNNNNNNNNNNNNNNNNNNNNNNNNNNNNNNNNNNNNNNNNNNNNNNNNNNNNNNNNNNNNNNNNNNNNNNNNNNNNNNNNNNGCACCAUAUCCAAUAGGGUGCGAUUACGACGUUCGGACACACCGUUUCGCUGAGGUGUUCUAGGCGGCGUGAGCUGUGAAACGAUUCCACAUUUCCUUAAGUGUGUACCAAAUUCGUGACUUAAGUAUUCUCCUCCACGAUCUGAUCGUAAGAAUUUUAUCUUUCGGUCACGUUGAUUCUCUACCUCAUUCUGAAAUUCCUUGAACUUUUCAAAGGUCUCAGACUUGUGUUUCAUUAAGUAGACAUACCCAUAUCUACUCAAGUCAUCUGUGAGAGUGAGAACAUAACGAUAUCCUCCGCGAGCCUCAACGCUCAUUGGACCGCACACAUCGGUAUGUAUGAUUUCCAACAAGUUGGUUGCUCGCUCCAUUGUUCCGGAGAACGGAGUCUUGGUCAUUUUGCCCAAAAGGCAUGGUUCGCACGUGUCAAACGAUUCAUAAUCAAGAGACUCUAAGAGUCCAUCGGCAUGGAGCUUCUUCAUGCGCUUGACACCAAUGUGACCAAGGCGGCAGUGCCACAAGUAUGUGGGACUAUCGUUAUCAACUUUAAAUCUUUUGGCAUCUACACUAUGAACAUGUGUUAUAUUACGCUCGAGAUUCAUUAAGAAUAAACCAUUGACCAUCGGAGCAUGACCAUAAAACAUAUCUCUCAUAUAAAUCGAACAACCAUUAUUCUCAGACUUAAAUGAGUAGCCAUCUCGUAUUAAACGAGAUCCAGAUACAAUGUUCAUGCUCAAACUUGGCACUAAAUAACAAUUAUUAAGGUUCAAAACUAAUCCCGUAGGUAAAUGUAGAGGCAGUGUGCCGACGGCGAUCACAUCGACUCUGGAACCAUUCCCGACGCGCAUCGUCACCUCGUCCUUCGCAAGUCUCCGUUUAUUCCGCAGCUCCUGCUGUGAGUUACAAAUAUGAGCAACGGCACCGGUAUCAAAUACCCAGGAGUUACUACGAGUACUGGUAAGGUACACAUCAAUCACAUGUAUAUCAAAUAUACCUUUGGUGUUGCCGGCCUUCUUAUCCGCUAAGUAUUUGGGGCAGUUCCGCUUCCAGUGACCCUUCCCCUUGCAAUAAAAGCACUCAGUCUCAGGCUUGGGUCCAUUCUUUGACUUCUUCCCGGUAACUGGCUUACCAGGCGCGGCAACAUCUUUGCCGUCCUUCUUGAAGUUCUUCUUACCCUUGCCCUUCUUAAACUUAGUGGUCUUAUUGACCAUCAACACUUGAUGUUCUUUCUUGAUUUCAGCCUCUGCUGACUUCAGCAUCGAGAACACUUCAGGAAUGGUCUUUUCCAUCCCCUGCAUGUUGUAGUUCAUCACACAGCUCUUGUAGCUUGGUGGGAGCGACUGGAGGAUUCUGUCAACGACUGCCUCAUCUGGGAGGUUAAUGUUCAGCUGGGUCAUACGGUUGUGCAACCCAGACAUCUUCAGGAUGUGCUCACUGACAGAACUGUUUUCCUCUAUCUUACAACUGUAGAACUUGUCGGAGACAUCAUAUCUCUCGACCCGGGCAUGAGCUUGAAAAACUAGUUUCAGCUCUUCGAACAUCUCAUAUGCUCCGUGGUGCUCAAAACGCUUUUGGAGCCCCGGUUCUAAGCUGUAAAGCAUGCCGCACUGAACGAGGGAGUAAUCAUCAGCACGAGACUGCCAAGCAUUCAUAAUGUCUUGGUUCUCUGGGACGGGAGCGUCACCUAGCGGUCCUUCUAGGACAUAUUGUUUCCUGGCAGCUAUGAGGAUGAUCCUCAGGUUCCGGACCCAGUCCAUAUAGUUGCUGCCAUCAUCUUUCAGCUUGGUUUUCUCUAGGAACGCGUUGAAGUUCAUGUUGACAUUAGCGUUGGCCAUUGAUCUACAAGACAUAUUUGCAAAGGUUUUAGACUAAGUUCAUGAUAAUAAAGUUCUAAUCAAAUUAUGAACUCCCACUUAGAUUAGACAUCCCUCUAGUCAUCUAAGUGUUACACGAUCCGAGUCGACUAGNNNNNNNNNNUUACCAGGCGCGGCAACAUCUUUGCUGUCCUUCUUGAAGUUCUUCUUACCCUUGCCCUUCUUGAACUUAGUGGUCUUAUUGACCAUCAACACUUGAUGUUCUUUCUUGAUUUCAGCCUCUGCUGACUUCAGCAUCGAGAACACUUCAGGAAUGGUCUUUUCCAUCCCCUGCAUGUUGUAGUUCAUCACAAAGCUCUUGUAGCUUGGUGGGAGCGACUGGAGGAUUCUGUCAAUGACCGCCUCAUCUGGGAGGUUAAUGUUCAGCUGGGUCAUACGGUUGUGCAACCCAGACAUCUUUAGGAUGUGCUCACUGACAGAACUGUUUUCCUCCAUCUUACAACUGUAGAACUUGUCGGAGACAUCAUAUCUCUCGACCCGGGCAUGAGCUUGAAAAACUAGUUUCAGCUCUUCGAACAUCUCAUAUGCUCCGUGGUGCUCAAAACGCUUUUGGAGCCCCGGUUCUAAGAUGUAAAGCAUGCCGCACUGAACGAGGGAGUAAUCAUCAGCGCGAGCUUGCCAAGCAUUCAUAAUGUCUUGGUUCUCGGGGACGGGAGCGUCACCUAGCGGUCCUUCUAGGACAUAUUGUUUCCUGGCAGCUAUGAGGAUGAUCCUCUGGUUCCGGACCCAGUCCGUAUAGUUGCUGCCAUCAUCUUUCAGCUUGGUUUUCUCUAGGAACGCGUUGAAGUUCAUGUUGACAUUAGCGUUGGCCAUUGAUCUACAAGACAUAUUUGCAAAGGUUUUAGACUAAGUUCAUGAUAAUAAAGUUCUAAUCAAAUUAUGAACUCCCACUUAGAUUAGACAUCCCUCUAGUCAUCUAAGUGUUACACGAUCCGAGUCGACUAGCCCGUGUCCGAUCAUCACGUGAGACGGACUAACAUCGUCGGUGAACAUUCUCAUGUUGAUCGUAUCUUCUAUACGAUUCGUGUUCGACCUUUCGGUCUCCGUGUUCCGAGGCCAUGUCUGCACAUGCUAGGCUCGUCAAGUUAACCCUAAGUGUUUUCGCUGUGUAAAACUGUCUUACACCCGUUGUAUGUGAACGUAAGAAUCCAUCACACCCGAUCAUCACGUGGUGCUUAGAAGCGACGAACUGUAGCAACGGUGCACAGUUAGGGGAGAACACUUCUUGAAAUUUUGUAAGGGAUCAUCUUAUUUACUACCGUCGUCCUAAGUAAACAAGAUGCAUAAACAUAAUAAACAUCACAUGCAAUUAUAUGGUUGUGACAUGAUAUGGCCAAUAUCAUAUAGCUCCAUUGAUCUUCAUCUUCGGGGCUCCAUGAUCAUCUUGUCACCGGCUUGACACCAUGAUCUCCAUCAUCAUGAUCUCCAUCAUCGUGUCUUCAUGAAGUUGUCAUGCCAACGACUACUUCUACUUCUAUGACUAACGUUUAGCAAUAAAGUAAAGUAGUUUACAUGGCGUUGUUCAAUGACACGCAGGUCAUACAAAAANNNNNNNNNNNNNNNNNNNNNNNNNNNNNNNNNNNNNNNNNNNNNNNNNNNNNNNNNNNNNNNNNNNNNNNNNNNNNNNNNNNNNNNNNNNNNNNNNNNNUAUAACUUUCAAUGCCAGUGACGAACCCCAAUUCCAGACCGUCCGGGCACCAGUCACUUUGGUCCUUAGCCCAAUAGUGGACGGCUUUCGGCUCACUAAAGUGCUCAUGGACGACGGAAGCGGAUUAAACCUGAUCUACGAAGAAACACUCAAGAAGAUGGAAAUUGAUAAAGGCCGCAUUGAGCAAAGCGGCACAAACUUCAGGGGAAUUAUCCCUAGUCGGGAGGCACGGUGUGCAAGGAAAAUCACACUCGAUGUGGUAUUCGGCACCCCAGAGAAUUACAGGUCCGAAGAAAUCAUAUUCCAAGUGGCCCCUUUCAGCAGCGGAUACCAGGCCCUUCUAGGGCGGGACGCGUUUGCAAGCUUUCAAGCUUUACCCCAUUACGGGUACAUGAAGCUUAAAAUGCCCGGACCAAAUGCAAUCAUCACUCUAGCUAGUGAUCUGGACGUUGCACUCCGCGCCGAAAACAAAACCGCAGCACUAGCCUUGGAAGCACUGUCCGAAGCCCUGGCAGCAGAAGAAUUAACAACACUGCGCGCCACCGUGGACAGGGACGACGUGAUACUCGACAAAUGAUCCAAGUCCACCUCAUUUAAACCCGCAGAUGAGAUAGUCAAAUUCCAAGUCCACCCUACGGACCCCACGAAGACAGCCUCCAUUGGGACACAGUUAAGCCCUACUAUGGACGCUGCACUGCGAGAUUUCUUACGCGAGAAUUGGGACAUUUUCGCCUGGCACCCAUCGGACAUGUCGGGCAUCCCAUGAGAAUUGGCCGAACACAGUCUUAACAUACUAAAGGGAUACAAACCCGUCAAACAGACCCUAAGGCGAUUUUCAGAUCCCAAACAGCAAGCCAUGGGGGAGGAGCUAGCCAAGCAACUUGAGGCCGGAUUCAUCAGAGAUAUUAAACAUCCGGAUUGGCUGGGGAACUUGGUAAUGGUACCAAAGAAGGACAAAACCUGGCGCUUGUGCGUCGACUUCAAAGACCUUAACAAGGCUUUCCCCAAGGAUCCAUUUCCCCUCCCUCGCAUCGAUCAGAUCAUCAAUGCCACAGCAGGACACGACUCACUGUGUUUCCUUGACGCAUACUCUGGAUACCAUCAAAUAAAGAUGGCAGAGCCCGACCAAGCUGCAACAGCUUUCAUAACGCCAUAUGGCCCUUUCUGCUUCAACACUAUGCCUUUCGGGCUCAAGGAUGCCGGAGCAACCUAUCAACGCAUGAUUCAAACAUGCCUGGAAAAGCAAAUCGGCAAAACAGUGGAGGCAUACGUGGACGACGUAGUCAUAAAAACAAGACAUGUUGAAACCCUAAUAGAUGACUUGAGGCUUACGUUCGACAACCUACGAACAUACGACAUCAAGCUGAAUCCGGAAAAAUGCAUUUUUGGCGUCCCCUCUGGAAAACUGCUGGGCUUCAUCGUUUCCAAUAGAGGAAUUGAAGCUAAUGCGGCAAAAAUCCGAGCUUUGUCGUAGUUGGCUAUACCAACAUGCCUCAAACACAUCCAGAAACAGGAUAAGCAUCUUUUUUGGCUCAAGCGUCAGAUGCAAAGCCUCUUGGUGGAUGUAAAUCGCAUUUGAAACCUUGCCACCAAGAAUACAUUUGUCACUCACGAAACUUGUCGGCGAUCAUGGAAGAGUUUGACCCUGCUCAGUGCUGAAGCAGAUCUUCAAGACGAUGGCUUCACUGAAAGAUUCAAGUUUGACUCCACUCCUCCACGGAAUGUUGUCCUACGUAGAACUCCAUCUCUUGAAGACUCUGACUAUUCUUCCUCUGCGGCAACUGUAAAUGCCAAUGUGAUCGAUGAUGAAGACGAUGCAACUUCACCGCCCCCUACUUCUGCACGCAUCGACACUGCACCAAGUUCGUCUGCACUGCCAACCAACAACGACAACCCUGCUACUUCACCUACUCCUCAAGAAGACGAGUAGGAUGCUCUAUGUUUUCAAACCUUUUUGGUCAUUACUGACAAAAGGGGGAGAAGCAUAUGAGUUGAUAGUCUUCAAGCGGGUUCAUAAGGGCGGUUGCUUUAUAUUUUUGCCUAGUGCUUACAACUCUUGCCUUUGAUACACUUCGUUCUUUGAGUUGUAACACUUAAACUUGAUGGUCGUCUACUACUUAUUUGCGUUUCCACGUGCGAUGAUAACUUCCGCACUUAGAUCAUUCUGCAGACGUCCAUUUUUCAUUAUGCAUGUCAUUCUCUUAGCUAUAUCAUUUCAUGCAUGAUGAAUUAUCUUCAUAAGUUGAAGAGGAUCUCCACAAGUAUAACCUGCCAUGUGCAUUUGCAUUCCAAAAGCAAAUUAUUUAUAUGCACAUCUUCAGGGGGAGCCCUUGCCACUUAUGAAGACAAUACGCUAUCCUUUACAAUUUCACAUACUUAUUUCCCGUUGAAAACUUCAACCACUUUGUCAUCAAUCACCAAAAAGGGGGAGAUUGUAAGUGCAUCUAGUGCCACCCCUAGUUGGUUUUGGAGUAUUGACGACAAAGUUGGUUGAGGGAUUAAUGCGUUUGUGAGAAUUGCAGGAUAACGCGGGUAGUGUCCCUCAUUGAUUCGGUUUACCUACCGGAGAUGACCCCUAAAAAUGUAUGAAGACAUUGAAGACAAUGGUGGUGUGUGAAGAUGUUCACAUUGAAGACUAUGACAUGAGAAGACAUUGAGUGAAGACUAUGGAGCGCGAAGACUGAGUUGUUUCGUUGUUUCCUUUUCUUCUUUGUUGAGUCAUAAGAACCACCGUACUGUUAAGUGGGGUCCAAGUGAACUAAGUCAGAGUGACUGAAGUGAUGCGCAACCCAAAUCCUAUGUCUUCGAGCGAAGACAAUAAGAGCAAAUCUUAUCCAGAGCUGGAUGAGUCAGCUUUGCUUGUAUCCCAAGUAAAGUUGCCGUGUGUGUUUGAAAUCUGACCGUUGGAACACGUGACAGUUCCUUAGUGACCCAGGGUCAUUUCAGACAUAUCAGGUCGGGUUGCCUUGUGGCUAUAAAUAGCCCACCCCCUACACCAUAAAUUGGUGGCUGCUCAGAAUUAGUUUAUGGCUUUUGUCGUUUUGAGAGCAAUCCACCUCGAAGCCUUUGAGAGAGAAAUCCUUGCGAGGACAAAGCCCAAACACCCAGAGCCAAAGAGUGUUAGGCAUCACUGAAGUCUUUUUGUCUGUGUGACCUGAAGACUUAUUACACUUGAGACUGUGUAUCCUCCAGCCGGUUAGGCGUCGCGUUCUGAGCGUCCAAGAGUCAUUGUGGAUUGCCGGUGAACGAAGUCUGUGAAGGUUCGGAAGUCUACCUUGAAGACUUACCAGAGUGAUUGGGCGAGGACUGUGUGUCCUUAGCUCAAGGGGAAUAAGGUGAAGACACGGUCUUCUGAGUUGAAUCUCAGCCUCCCUAACCAGACGUACAGUUGUCACAGCAACUGGAACUGGUCCAACAAAUCNNNNNNNNNNNNNNNNNNNNNNNNNNNNNNNNNNNNNNNNNNNNNNNNNNNNNNNNNNNNNNNNNNNNNNNNNNNNNNNNNNNNNNNNNNNNNNNNNNNNUGAACUUUUGUCUUGAAUCUUUCGGAUCUGAAUAUUCAUGCCACAAUUAAGAAGAUUUACAUUGAAAUUAUGCCAAAGUAUCACUCCGCAUCAAAAAUUCUUUUUUAUCAUUUACCUACUCAAGGACGAGCAGGAAUUAAGCUUGGGGAUGCCUGAUACGUCUCCAACGUAUCUAUAAUUUUUGAUUGCUCCAUGCUACUUUAUCUACUUUUUUGGACCAUAUUGGGCUUUAUUUUCCACUUUUAUAUUAUUUUUGAGACUAACCUAUUAACCGGAGGCCCAGUCCAGAAUUGCUGUUUUUUGCCUAUUUCAGUGUUUCAAAGAAACGGAAUAUCAAAUGGAGUCCAAACGGAAUGAAACCUUCGGGAACGUGAUUUUCUCACUAAACGUGAUCCAGGAGACUUGGACCCUACUCCAAGAUGUAACAGAGGCGGUCACGAGGGUGGGGGCGCGCCCCUAGGGCACGCCCCCUGCCUCGUGGCCCCCUGUUGCUCCACCGACGUACUCCUUCCUCCUAUAUAUACCUACGUAUCCCAAACGACCAGAAGAGGAGCCAAAAACCUAAUUCCACCACCGCAACCUUAUGUAUCCACGAGAUCCCAUCUUGGGGCCUGUUCCGGAGCUCUGUCGGAGGGGGCAUCCACCAUGGAGGGCUUCUACAUCAACACCAUAGCCCCUCCGAUGAAGUGUGAGUAGUUUACUUCAGACCUUCAGGUCCAUAGCUAGUAGCUAGAUGGCUUCUUCUCUCUUUUUGGAUCUCAAUACAAUGUUCUCCCCCUCUCUCGUGGAGAUCUAUUCGAUGUAAUCUUCUUUUUGCGGUGUGUUUGUUGAGACCGAUGAAUUGUGGGUUUAUGAUCCAGUUUAUCUAUGAACAAUAUUUGAAUCUUCUCUGAAUUCUUUUAUGUAUGAUUGAGUUAUCUUUGCAAGUCCCUUCGAAUUAUCCUUUUGGUUUGGCCAACUAGAUUGGUAGUUCUUGCAAUGGAAGAAGUGCUUAGCUUUGGGUUCAAUCUUGCGGUGUCCUUUCCCAGUGAUAGAAGGGGCAGCAAGGCACGUAUUGUAUUGUUGCCAUCGAGGAUAACAAGAUGGGGUUUUUGUCAUAUUGCAUGAAUUUAUCCCUCUACAUCAUGUCAUCUUGCUUAAGGCGUUACUCUGUUUUUAACUUAAUACUCUAGAUGCAUGCUGGAUAGUGAUCGAUGAGUGGAGUAAUAGUAGUAGAUGCAGAAUCAUUUCGAUCUACUUGUCUCGGAUGUGAUGCCUAUAUACAUGAUCAUACCUAGAUAUACUCAUAACUAUGCUCAAUUCUGUCAAUUGCUCAACCGUAAUUUGUUCACCCACCGUAGAAUAUCUAUGCUCUUGAGAGAAGCCACUAGUGAAACCUAUGGCCCCCGGGUCUAGUCUCAUCAUAUCAAUCUCCAUUACUUUAUUACUUGCUUUGUUUUUACUUUGCCUUUUACUUUUCAGUUUGCAUCUAUCUAUCAAAAAUACCAAAAAUAUUAUUUAUCAUCUCUAUGAGAUAUCACUCUCAUAAGUGACCGUGAAGGGAUUGACAACCCCUAAUCGCGUUGGUUGCGAGGAGCUAUCGUUUUGUGUAGGUACGAGGGACUUGUGCGUGGUCUCCUACUGGAUUGAUACCUUGGUUCUCAAAAACUGAGGGAAAUACUUACACUACUUUGCUGCAUCAUCCUCUCCUCUUCGGGGAAAUCCAACGCAGUGCUCAAGAGGUAGCAAAAGCCAACAGGUAGCAAGUGAUAAAAGUGAGCGAAAAUGGUAUUGCAAUGCUUCGAAACAAGGCCUAGGGUUCAUACUUUCACUUGUGCAAGUUCUCUCAACAAUAAUAACAUAAUUGGAUCAUAUAACAAUCCCUCAACAUGCAACAAAGAGUCAUUCCAAAGUCACUACUAGCGGAGAAAAAACGGAGAGAUUAUUGUAGGGUACGAAACCACCUUAAAGUUAUUCUUUCCGAUCAAUCCAUUGGGCUAUUCUUGUAAGUGUCACACACAGCCCUAGAGUUCGUAGUAAAAUAACACCUUAAGACACAAAUCAACCAAAACCCUAAUGUCACCUCAAUUAUCCGUGGGUAUGAUUACACGAUAUGCAUCACACAAUCUUAGAUUCAUCUAUUCAAACCAACACAAAGAACUUCAAAGAGCGCCCCAAAGUUUCUACUGGAGAGUCAAGACGAAAACGUGUGCCAACCCAUAUGCAUAGUUUCCCAAGUUCACGGAACCCGCAAGUUGAUCACCAAAACAUACAUCAAGUGAAUCAACAGAAUACCCCAUUGUCACCACGGGCAUCCCACGCAACACAUAUAUCAAGUGUUCUCAAAUCCUUAAAGACUCAAUCCAUUAGAAGAAGGUAGAGGGGGAGAAACAUCAUAAGAUCCAACUAUAAUAGCAAAGCUCGCGGUACAUCAAGAUCAUGCCAAAUCAAAAACACGAGAUAGAGAGAGAGAGAAAAAAAAUCAAAGACAUAGCUACUGGUACAUACCCUCAGUACCGAGGGUGAACUACUCCCUCCUCGUCAUGGAGAGCGCGAGGAUGAUGAAGAUGGCCACCGGUGAUGGACCCCCCUCCGGCAGGGUGCCGGAACAGGGCCCCGAUUGGUUUUUGGUGGCUAUAGAGGCUUGCGGCGGCGGAACUCCCGAUCUAGGUUUCUUUUUGGGGGUUUCUGUAUUUAUAGGAAUUUUUGGCGCGAGUCUCACGUCAGGGGGGAGGGGUCUCCCAGUCAUCCACGAGAUAGGGGGCGCCCCCAGUGGGUAGGGCGCGCCCUCCACCCCCUUGGAUGGCUUGGGACUCUUCUGGCCCAACUCUUUUACUUCGAGGGCUUCCUUUGGUCCAUAAAAAAAUCCACAAAAAAUGGUAGGUCAAUUGGACUCCAUUUGGUAUCUUUUCUGUAAAACUCAAAAACAAGGGAAAAACAGAAACUGGCACGGGGCUCUAGGUUAAUAGGUUAGUCCCAAAAAUCAUAUAAAAUAGCAUAUAAAUGCAUAUAAAACAUCCUAGAUGGAUAAUAUAAUAGCAUGGAACAAUAAAAAAUUGUAGAUACGUUGAGACGUAUCAGGGGGUCAUCUCCAAUGCAUAAACCGAAUAAACAAGGACUUCUAAGUGUUCCUUGGAGGUGUUGGUGUAGAUGUUGGGGCAGCCGGAUUGACGUUGGAGUUGGGCGGUGCAGAAGGGCCUGAUGCAGCGUCGUGGUGCAGUGAAGCCAUAGCUGGUGAAGUAGCAUCGACCUCCUCAUCAAUGACGCGCACAACGACAUUUGGGGCGGAUGAUGUGUAAUCAGAAUCUUCAAUUGAUGGUGCAGGAAGCCAUGUAGCUGAUUGCGGAGGCUUGGAGUUAAACUUGAACCUUGCUGUGAAGCCAUCUAUAGUGAGUUCAUCUUCAGAACAGAGCAGAGUGAGGCUCUUCCAAGCACGCCGAUANNNNNNNNNNNNNNNNNNNNNNNNNNNNNNNNNNNNNNNNNNNNNNNNNNNNNNNNNNNNNNNNNNNNNNNNNNNNNNNNNNNNNNNNNNNNNNNNNNNNGGUUGCUUGGAUUUAUUAAAAGUUUGCUUGGAUUUACUAAAGGGUUGCUUAGAUUUAAGAAAAGGUUGUUUAGAUGUAUACAUGAUUUAUUCCUUAUUUAAAAUUUGAAAAUUUGAAAAUUCACUUCUUUAUUUUAUUAAUUUAGGAUCCAGAAGAAGUAGUUUUUCUUUGAUCCAUAUCUUAUUUGAUUCAUAUUAUAGUAUAUGAAUACCCUCUAUACAUAUGAAAUAAUAUCUACCGGAAAUCAGAUGAGUUGAUUUGUAUUUUGUAUUCUAUACUAUGUUUUCUUUAUAUAUUAAAUAUGAAGUUCUUACUCUUUCUGUUGUUUGGAAAGAUCGAACACACGAUGUUCCUAUUUCUUUAUUUCGUGAUGAGUCGUAUGCUUGCGACAAUAACGACAAAAAAUUUUGAAUUCUAAUUGUCCGGGUGUAUUGUGGCGAUUCUUUUGAGUACUAUAUCUAGAAAUCCCCGUCGAUUCCUCAUUGGCACCUUUUCGAACACAACUGAUGCAUUCCAAAAUAACUCUGAUUCUAACAUCUUUUCCCUUGGCCAUGAACCUCCUUUUCUUUUUGGAUUGACUUAACUUAAUUCUUCUACUUAUUCUUUUAUUCUUCUAUUUUGAAUCCGAAGAAGAAGAAUAAAAUUCAUUAGAAUAAUUUUUUUAUUCUUAAAUUAAGUAAUAAAAAAUAGAGAAAUAAUUAAAGAAUACAAUCCUUGUCGAAUUAGCAAAGAUUUUGGUUCGAAAUCAUUUCAUUUAAUUAGCCAGCCCCACCUUUUCUAUGCUCUGAUUUCUGAGGCCUUAUUUAGCUUGGGUACCCCUUUAAAUUGAAUUUCUAUUUUCAAAAAUGGGGUUUACAAAAUUUUUAAUGACUCUGAGGUUCAACCCAAUCCAUCUUUUCUUUCUUUUUCCUUCCGAUACUAAAAAAAGAUUGAAAAGGAUCAAAUUUUGUCAUAUCACGAAGAAAUCUAUCCCUCCCAUAGCAAUAACUAGAAUUAAAAAAAAGGGAAUGACAAAGCAUCUGGGAAUAAACGAUUAAUUUCUAUCAAUAAACCUGCUAAAGCACCAAACCAUAGAGUACUUUGCACGGGUGCUACAGAGAGAUAUGUUUUUAUAUCCCGCAUUGAAAAUCCUCCUUCCUUGUUGGAAUACAUAUAUGAUCAUAAACUCUUGCCCAAGAUUGUUAUGCUAUAUAUAAAAUGAACCAUAUCGACGAAAUUUUCCUAUCCCUAAAAAAGAAAAAGAUGACCCCUUCUUCCUAUAUAUUAGCAAGGAAAAGUAAUCCUUCUUUUAUAGGCGAAAUUAUAUUGGAUUUUAUAUGUAUAUAAUUCCUUAAUUAUAUGAGACCAAAAAGAAGAAAUGAUACGAGGGUUCUAUAUAUAGAUAGAGAAAGAAAGAAGAAGAAAAUAGAAAGAAGAAGAAAAUUAUGAUGUGGAAAAGAAGACAGGAAUUGUGUACAAUGGCAUUGUACAACAAUUUAAUUUGGAAAAGGGAUGUAGCGCAGCUUGGUAGCGCGUUUGUUUUGGGUACAAAAUGUCACAGGUUCAAAUCCUGUCAUCCCUACCUAUUACUUCUUUCUUCUUUAUAGGCAGUAGCGAUGAGAUCAAUUAAAGUAAAGUGGGUAUAACUUGAAUUUGUGGAGACUAUACGUACGUGAGAUACAUUAGGAAUAGAAAAAGAUUUUCUUUUUGAAUGAAUGAAAGCGCUCUUAGUUCAGUUCGGUAGAACGCGGGUCUCCAAAACCCGAUGUCGUAGGUUCAAAUCCUACAGAGCGUGAUUCCAUCUAUUUUAUGUCGAAGCAGAGUAAAAUAACUUAACAAAAUUGAAUUGUAACUCCAAUUUCAAUUUUACCUCCUCUCUGGUCUGGAGGAGGUCAAUCAAAAAAAAAAUGACUCAAUCAAAGAUCCAACUGAUCCCCACGCCUGUAUUGCAAAUACGCAGUCACGAAUAAUCCCGCUAAAGUAAUAGGAAUUAGGCCUAAGACGAUUCCAAAUAGAAAAACUUCAAUCAUUUCGAUUUGUUUGAGGGGAUAAAAAAAGAGGUACGAUCUAUCCCUAAAUAGUACUCUAAAUUAUCCACGAAUCUCAAUGACCAAGAAAAGAAUUCCUAAUUAGUCUGGAAAAGAGUCGUAGAAUGCCAGGAAUCCCAAAGAAAGAUUUUUCUUUUCUGAAUUAUAAUUAUUCAGUCAAUUCAAAUAAGGCGUAUCUUGUUCAAGCCAAUAAAUAGAGCUGGGGUUAUAGUUAAAGCAGCCAGUAGAAAACCAAAAUAACUAGUUAAAGUAAGCAUGAAAGAGUUAAAUUCCAUUUUUUUACUACACUACAUAUGUUGGUAAAGCAUUUACCUAAGUUAUGGAAAAUUCAGAAUUCAUCAGUUAUUUUAGAUAAUACUAAAAAACAAGGUAGAGUAAGAUACAGAAGUGUAAAAGAAAGUGGAUUCAUCAGAUGAUACAUGAGUCCCUAAUUCCGAAUCAAGAGAUUUGUUGUGGAAUUUGUCAAUUGAGUAAAGUAAUAAUAUUAAGAACUAGAUCAUCUAACCCCAUUGAAUUUCAUUUUUUCAUUCAAUUUUCAGGGAAAUUUUUGAAUAAAAGAUAAAUAAACAAUUGAAUUUGAAAAAAAAAACUUCUUUCUAUUUUGGAUAAUUUCUUUUUCAAUAGGACCCUCUUUUUGGAGUGAACGAUCGAAUAUUCCCCUAUUCCUUCUUAUUUUAACUGAUUGUAUUCCAUAUGGAAUAAGAGGAGAACAAAAGCAUUCCACGACCUGCCAAGGGGCUGUUAAAAAAAAAGAAAGCUCUUCCUUGAAUUUACUUUAUUUUUAUUCCUUUUUCGAACUCCAACCAAAGUAGAUUCGAAGACGAGUCACUUCAAUUAUCCUUUUAAGUUCUAUUCUAUCUUCUGUCUUUCCCUAUUUCAUCUCGUAAAGUUCCGCGCUCACAGUUUGGUCAAGAAAGUUAGACCUAAUCCAACAAACAAUACAAGGAUGAAUUACGAAUUAUGAAAGGAUAGAUUUCACAUAUACUUGUCCUUGUAUUGUGUCAGUAUGAGAAUAUCCUUCCUAAAUUAUUUAUCCAAACCUAUUGAUCAUUAACUUAGAUUUUCCCAAGAUUUUGGCUGCUAUUCCGAAUUACUCUAUUAUUCCGAAGCCAAUGAAAAGUAAGUAGAACCUACAAAAAUGGGGUUUUCUAUUGAUGCCUUGAAUAACAUAUAGCUUACCUAUAGACAAAAAAAAUAAAAAAGUAAUUAUGUUUCGGAACCAGGCAAAACCAGAUUGCUGUGCCAUAGGAAGGAUAGCUAUACUAAUUCGGUAUACUCAAAAUACACCUUUGGUACAAAAUUGACAAUCUCACAAGGAUGAAAUAUCAGUAAUUUUCUAUUUACUGGUCGAUCCCAUCUUUUACGGAAUCAAUUCCUUUUUUGAAUGUACAAAANNN